rnacentral:misc_RNA from 1 species
AACCAUAGAAACCUGCGGAGUACCUGCGGCGGGAUCAUUACAGAGUUGCAAAACUCCCUAAACCAUUGUGAACGUUACCUAAACCGUUGCUUCGGCGGGCGGCCCGGGUCCUUCCCGGCGCCCCUCGGCCCUCGCGGGCGCCCGCCGGAGGUAAACCAAACUAUUGCAUUGUAUGGCCUCUCUGAGUCUUCUGUACUGAAUAAGUCAAAACUUUUAACAAUGGAUCUCAGAUCGGAAGAG